rnacentral:misc_RNA from 1 species
GCCACUAGAUCCAGCCGAGCCCUUAGGAUUCAACAGCUCUCCCUAUUAGGAAAUGGCUUCCCUCUCGGUAUCAUUCCCUCUUACUCUCCCACUUCUAACAAGGACCUUGGUUCUUUCUCUCUCCAGUCUGUCUUGCUCAAACUUGCCACCUCUAACUGCUGGCUGGGAUUAAUCGGGCAGUUCCGACCAAGGAAAUUGAUUUCGUCUAUUAAAGCGGAACUUUCUAAUGCUGAGGAACUUGAAUUCUCUGUAUUUAAGGAUGCGAC